ensembl:lncRNA
GGGUGCCACCACGCUUCUUUCUAGGCGGUAUCUGUUCACCUGUACCUGCGUCCCUAGCAGCUUGGGAGCCCUGCCAGUGCCCCUGGAACUGAACUCCCAGGUGGUGCCAACAGCCCCAGCUUCUCCAAGAGCCAUUCGACUUCCGCCUUGUUCCUUCCCCCCUUCCAAGAGAGCUGGUGCUUCGAGAAACUGCCACAGAUGGGCCAAGGAGAAACACACAUGCUUGUUUUUAAUUUACUUGAAAUCCUCUUUUCUUGGUGCUACUGGGACGGGCGGCUGCCAGGCUCUCCCGGCCGAGCGGCUGGGGACUCGGCCCCAAGGACCGACUCGCUGCAGCGGAGGGAUGAGCUGCUUCAGGCCCAGUCCCUUCCCGGGGGCCCUCUCCUGGCCAGGAUCUCUCCGUCCUUGGAUUUGGUCCUUGGGCUGUAGCACCCCCUGAGCCCCCAGGGCUGUGCCCGGAGCUGCUCCCCUGUGCCUGAGUGCAGCCACUGUCCCUUAGCAGGAGGGAGCAGGGGUUCCCCAUUUUCAGAUGGGGCGACAGGCUCAGAGAACCGAGGAGCUUAGAGCAGUGGUACCGCAGGACUUCCCUGUAGGACAGUCUGUUGGUUCCAGGGGCUCCUUCCGCACGGCUGGCCUGUCCAGAUCAGCAAGGAGCUAGCUGGUUGCAAGUGAUAGAAACGUUUCUCCCAUCUUCCCUGAGCCAGCUCAUGGCCUGAGGUACUGGCUCACUGGCGUGGCACCAAGGUCAAUCCCUUCCCUCCUUGGGGUCUUAGCCUCUACCUGCUGACUGAGGGGAUGGAUCAGAUGAUGCCUGUGGGUCUGAUAUUUGGACUCCAUGAAUGAUAUGCUCUCAGGUCUCCUGAUCUUGAGAGGCCGGGAGGAUGGGGACUUUGACGUGAGAGGGAGAAUCAACUGAGAGUUGUGCAGUAGAGUGGCUUGAACUUGCCGUGGUGGCCCUGCUGUUGGUGGGCUUUGUGAGUUGGGGCAAGUUGCUUCACCUCUCUGAGCUUCGGCUUCAUCGGCUAUUCAAAGCAAGGUAAUGAUCCCACCCUCACUGAUGGAAACACAGGCAUCGGCUAAAGCUGUUGGUGUCUGGUGACAAGCAAACACUCUCCAAACGGUAGUUGCCACGGCUGUUUAUCAUUCUCAUCCUUGUUGUUACACGGUUUUUUUUUUUUUUUAAUGAAUUGGAGAAAGUCCCAGCUCUUACAUACCAAAAAGGUCUCCGGUCCAACUUCUGUUUUUUACAAACUGGGAAACCAAGUCAAGAGAAGGGAAAUGCCGCUCUCAACCUGGGAUCAAAAGAGACUUGGAAGAACUCUGUUUUGCCCUCUGCCUUCUCUUCCCCACAGAUGGAGAAAUAAAAGCACAUGCAUUGAGGACUUCCCUGGUAGUCCAAUGGUUAAGAAUCUGCCUUACAAUGCAGGGUAUGUGGGUUUGAUCCCUGGCUGGAGAACUAAGAUCCCACGUGCCGAGGAGCAGCUAAGCCCAUGUGCCACAACUAGGGAGUUACGUUGUACUGAAAGCUCCUGCCUGCUACAACUGAGACGUGGGAAGAUCCCAUGUGACACAACAAAGAUCCUGAUGCAGCCAAGUGUCCCUGGAAUCUUCUACCAGCUGACCUUACAUGGGGCCAUCUCAGUACCUUGAUUUUUAGCUCACCCAUUGCUGACCAUCCCAAAGACUGUUUCCCAGCUUCCCUUGUAGCUAAGUGAGUCAUUUAUGGGCAAAUGGGAUAUGAACAGCGGUGUCCUAUGGGACUUCCAGAAUUCAUCUUAAAAAAUUAGGAGCAUGCCCUUCUUGGAUCCUUCCUGUGCCUGGCUGUCUGGAACAUGGGUGUGAUGGCUGGAAUGCUAGCAGCCAUCUGAGAUCACAAGGGUCACAUUUUAGUGAUGGUAGGGCAGCGUGCUAGAGAGAACCAAGGUUCCUGAUGGCCUUGUGUCCUUCAUAUCCGUUCUGUAUUUCCUACUUCUGGGUCUCUUUAAUGUGAGAG